GCUAGAGUGUUGUCUUCAAGGCGC
rnacentral:siRNA from 1 species